rnacentral:rRNA from 1 species
GACGAACCGAGCGAACGUUGUUCGGAAUCACUGGGCUUAAAGGGCGCGUAGGCGGGCAUCAUAGUCUGUGGUGAAAUCCGGCAGCUUAACUGUCGAAUUGCCAUGGAUACUGGGUGUCUCGAGGGAGGCAGGGGUGCGCGGAACUGGAUGGGUGGAGCGGUGAAAUGCGUUGAUAUCAUCAGGAACUCCGGUGGCGAAGGCGGCGCACUGGUCCUUUUUCUGACGCUGAGGCGCGAAAGCCAGGGGAGCAAACGGGAUUAAGAUGACCCGAGUAGUCC